AUGAAGAGGAGUAGUUAUUUACUCGGUGAGAGGAAGGACUAUUAUCUAGUGGAGACAAGGUGCAUGGAUAUUACCAGCUCAAGUGCGACUGAACCCUGCCACUACUUCCCAGAGAACAAGAGCAAUCUAUCUAGUUUUACUCUAGAACAAGGGCCAACCAAGACCCGUCUCUCAUCUCUGCGGUUGAUUUUCAAGAACCAGGUCAGGGGAGAAGGAACCCUGGAACAAAUGGCGGGAUUUUUGGAUGUUUUAGCAUCCAAUGUCAGCAACAUGCUCACCGACAGCCAGAUCUGUCUCUCAUCGCCAGUCCAUCGAAGAUACCUAACUGAUUCCAGUUCCACUACAGUACUAUACCUAUUUUUCUCUCUCUAA
rnacentral:rRNA from 1 species